rnacentral:rRNA from 1 species
GACGAACGCUGGCGGCGUGCUUAACACAUGCAAGUCGAACGGAAAGGCCCCUUUGGGGGUCCUCGAGUGGCGAACGGGUGAGUAACACGUGAGUAACCUGCCCUUGACUUCGGGAUAACUUAAGGAAACUGGGGCUAAUACCGGAUAGGAAUCCUUGCUGCAUGGUGGGGGUUGGAAAGCUUCGGCGGUUUUGGAUGGACUCGCGGCUUAUUAGCUUGUUGGUGGGGUAGUGGCUUACCAAGGCUUUGACGGGUAGCCGGCCUGAGAGGGCGACCGGCCACAUUGACACUGAGAUACUGCCCACACGCCUCCUCGAGACAGCAGGUGAGAAUAUUUCACAAUGGGCGGAAGCCUGAUGCAGCAACUCCGCUUGCGGGAUGACGGCCUUCGGGUUGUAAACCUCUUUCAGCAGGGGCGAAUCUUGUCGUAACGGUACCUGCACAAGAAGCACCGGCUAACUACGUG